rnacentral:rRNA from 1 species
UACGUAGGGUGCAGGCGUUAAUCGGAAUUACUGGGCGUAAAGCGUGCGCAGGCGGUUUCUUAAGUCAGAUGUGAAAGCCCCGGGCUUAACCUGGGAACCGCAUUUGUGACUGCAUAGCUGGAGUACGGCAGAGGGGGAUGGAAUUCCGCGUGUAGCAGUGAAAUGCGUAGAUAUGCGGAGGAACACCGAUGGCGAAGGCAGUCCCCUGGGCCUGUACUGACGCUCAUGCACGAAAGCGUGGGGAGCAAACAGG